GUCUGUUUGAUUUAAUUAACAGUCUGACCUGCCCAUUGAAUUUUUUAAAAGGCCGCGGUAUACUGACCGUGCGAAGGUAGCAUAAUAAUUAGUCUUUUAAUUGAAGACUGGAAUGAAAGGUUGGACAAAAAGUAACCUGUUUCAAUACUAAAAAUUGAAAUUAACUUUUAAGUGAAAAGGCUUAAAUAAUCUUAAAAGACGACAAGACCCCGUAAAACUUUAUAUAGAUAGAUAUAAUUUUCAAAUUUUAAGUAUAACUAAAAUUAUCUUUUUCUAUAUUUCGUUGGGGCGACGAAAGUAUAUUAUAUAACUGCUUUAUUUUUAACACAAUUAUAUUUGUUUAUUUUGACCCUUAUUUUAAGAUCUAAAGAAAAAGUUACUUUGGGGAUAACAGCGUAAUUUUUUUUAAGAGUUCUUAUCGACAAAAAAGUUUGCGACCUCGAUGUUGAAUUAAAGUAUCAUUAUAGUGCAGCAAUUAUAAUAAGUAGGUCUGUUCGACCUUUAAAACUUUACAUGAUUUGAGUUCAAACCGGCGUGAG
rnacentral:rRNA from 1 species